rnacentral:rRNA from 1 species
CAGCCGCCACGGUAAUACGUAGGGUGCAAGCGUUAAUCGGAAUUACUGGGCGUAAAGCGUGCGCAGGCGGUUAUAUAAGACAGAUGUGAAAUCCCCGGGCUCAACCUGGGAACUGCAUUUGUGACUGUAUAGCUAGAGUACGGCAGAGGGGGAUGGAAUUCCGCGUGUAGCAGUGAAAUGCGUAGAUAUGCGGAGGAACACCGAUGGCGAAGGCAAUCCCCUGGGCCUGUACUGACGCUCAUGCACGAAAGCGUGGGGAGCAAACAGGAUUAGAGACCCGUGUAGUCCCUGUCUCUUAUAA